CUAAGAAUAUUCCGCAAUGGACGAAAGUCUGACGGAGCGACGCCGCGUGGAUGAUGAAGGCCGAAAGGUUGUAAAGUCCUUUUGCUGGGGAAGAAUAAGCGUGGGAGGGAAUGCCCGCGUGAUGACAUGAACCGGCGAAUAAGCCCCGGCUAACUACGUG
rnacentral:rRNA from 1 species